rnacentral:rRNA from 1 species
CGCGUGGGUAACCUGCCUCAUACAGGGGGAUAACAGUUGGAAACGACUGUUAAUACCGCAUAAGACCACAGCACCGCAUGGUGCGGGGGUAAAAACUCCGGUGGUAUGAGAUGGACCCGCGUUCGAUUAGCCAGUUGGCGGGGUAACGGCCCACCAAAGCGACGAUCGAUAGCCGAUCUGAGAGGAUGACCGGCCACAUUGGGACUGAGACACGGCCCAAACUCCUACGGGAGGCAGCAGUGGGGAAUAUUGCACAAUGGGGGAAACCCUGAUGCAGCGACGCCGCGUGAGUGAAGAAGUAUUUCGGUAUGUAAAGCUCUAUCAGCAGGGAAGAAAAUGACGGUACCUGAGUAAGAAGCCCCGGCUAACUACGUGCCAGCAGCCGCGGUAAUACGUAGGGGGCAAGCGUUAUCCGGAUUUACUGGGUGUAAAGGGAGCGCAGACGGCUCUGCAAGUCUGAAGUGAAAGCCCGCGGCUUAACCGCGGGACUGCUUUGGAAACUGCAAGGCUUGAGUAUCGGAGGGGCAGGCGGAAUUCCUAGUGUAGCGGUGAAAUGCGUAGAUA